GAAGAGGAGAGGUUUAAAAGGAAGAGAUGAAUUUCUUUGGACAAGAUAAAAAUCAUCCUUAACAUUUAUCUAGAGCUUGAAAGAAUCAUUGCACGGAAAUCAUUGCAUAGAAAUCAGAGAGUGGAGGGGAAAAAGAAAUUGUAUGAGAACACUUCCCCACUGUGGCAUUUCCAAUUGAAGCCUACCCAGAAACCCUGGAAAUAAUCAGAGGAAAGCAGAGAUAACAGGCCUCGCCAUGUCCAGCCUGCCUUCUCUGCACAGAAUCCUGUUCGUCUUUCUGGUUCUGACAGAAUGUCUGGCAACCAGACUUUCUGAAUCAGUGUUGUUUCUGCCCUGCUGCUCCCGAGGUGCUCGUGUCCAGGCAAAGAGUGAAAUAGAAAGAAUGGACGCUGACUUAACCAGUCGGUUGAGGUUCCAGAAAGAUCCCGGCUUCCUCUCCCCUCUGAUUGCCUUUUCCCGCAGCCCUAGAUGUGCUUUCCACGCACGCGGAUCGCCUCUGACCGACCCCGCAACUGUAUUUCCUCAAGCAGCUGGUUUUGGGACGGAUCCUGCACGACUCAAGGCAACUUCUGGCUUCCUGCUGGAAAGAUUACAAAAUGAAUCCAGGAGACAAUGAGCCGGCCCAAGACUUCAUGGAAUAGUCACAGGCUUGCUCUAGUCUCAGGUGUCCCUUGGCCAGGGGGCCUUUCCCGGGUUCCCCUCCAGGGUCACCAGCACAGUCGCAAAUUUCUUGCUCGGAGCUGGCUCGUUCUAUGAAGCAUUUCAGGAACACUAGUGGCUGCCGAUGAUGGAGACUUUUGUUCCUGUGUAGCCCUGAUGGAAAGAAAGCUCUCUGGAAAGGGAUUAUAGCAUGGACUGUAAUGGCAUUGCUUAGCGUGGUUGUUAUUUUGAAAUGUGUCCUGGAGUAAUAAUAUAUUUCAGCACUCAGUUUAGAUUUCACAUUCUCAAGCAAAAUCAUGUCUAGUAAGGAGGGAGAAGCUCUCAUUCUGCCCCUGGAAGCUCUCGUUCUGAUGUCAUGCCUACAGUCCUAUCUGUUCCUAGAGGUUAUUUAAAUGUGUCCUGAGAUAAUGAGUUGC